UGAGUACGAGAUGCUACGGCGUCGAAGCAGUCUAGGUCAUACUUCCAAGAAAAGCUUGCACUGUCAUAAACAAAGAAUGCCUGUACCAUAACCGACACAGGUGGGUAGGUAGAGUAUACUAAGGGGCGCGAGAUAACUCUCUCUAAGGAACUCGGCAAAAUGACUCCGUAACUUCGGGAGAAGGAGUGCCUUAUUUUUAAGGUUGCAAUAACAAGAUCCAAGCAACUGUUUACCAAAAACACAGGUCUCCGCUAAGUCGUAAGACGAUGUAUGGGGGCUGACGCCUGCCCAGUGCCAGAAGGUUAAAGAAGUUGGUUAGCAUUUGCAAGCUGAUAACUGAAGCCCUGGUGAACGGCGGCCGUAACAAUAACGGUCCUAAGGUAGCGAAAUUCCUUGUCGGGUAAGUUCCGACCCGCACGAAAGGCGUAAUGAUUUGGAUACUGUCUCGGAGAGGGGCUCGGUGAAAUAGACUUGUCUGUGAAGAUGCGGACUACCUGCACCUGGACAGAAAGACCCUAUGAAGCUUUACUGUAACUUGAGAUUGAAAUUGGACUUUAUUUGCGCAGUAUAGGUGGGAGGCGUUGAGAAUAAUCUUGCGGGAUUAUCGGAGCCAUCAGUGAGAUACCACUCUUGUAAUGUUAGAUUUCUAACUUUGUAUCAUUAUCUGGUCGAAGAACAGUUUCAGGCGGGCAGUUUGACUGGGGCGGUCGCCUCCCAAAGGGUAACGGAGGCGCACAAAGGUUUCCUCUGAACGGGUAGAAAUCGUAUCUAGAGUGUAAAGGCAUAAGGAAGCUUGACUGUGAGACCUACAAGUCGAGCAGGGACGAAAGUCGGUCUUAGUGAUCUGACGGUGCUGAGUGGAAAGGCCGUCACUCAACGGAUAAAAGUUACUCUAAGGAUAACAGGCUGAUCUCCCCCAAGAGUUCACAUCGACGGGGAGGUUUGGCACCUCGAUGUCGGCUCAUCGCAUCCUGGGACGGUAGUACGUCCCAAGGGUUGGGCUGUUCGCCCAUGAAAGCGGUACGCGAGCUGGGUUCAGAACGUCGUGAGACAGUUCGGUCCAUAUCCGGUGUAGGCGUUAGAAUAUUGAAAGGAGCCUUCUCUAGUACGAGAGGACCGAGAAGGACAUACCUCUGGUGUGCCAGUUAUCGUGCCAACGGUAAACGCUGGGUAGCUAUGUAUGGAGUGGAUAACCGCUGAAAGCAUCUAAGUGGGAAGCCCACCUUAAGAUAAGUAUUCUCAC
rnacentral:rRNA from 1 species